rnacentral:lncRNA from 1 species
AAAAAAUUUCAGACUUGUUCAACAAUAAAGGAAGAACAACAAGAACACUAGUGCAUGAAUUAAAUCAAAUUACGAAAAAAUAACAUAAGAAUACAAAUUUUGUCUCAGAUCCAGCAACAAAAAUACCCAAAAAUACAGAGUUGGUCACACAGACAUAAAAAAAAAUUAUGAAAAAAGAACAUAAGAAUACAAAUUCCCCCCUCCGUCAGCCUCACCCAAGACAACCUCUAGAAAAUCGCCGCCUACAAAGUUAUGUUUGGUCCUCGGCCUCGGCACCGACUCUCUCCCUUUGCCAUCGAAAGGAUUAAAACGAAAUAAAAAAAAAAAAAAAAAGAUCUGAUCACCCCAUCGCAAGGUUGCAGAAGUUCUUUUUCUUAAUCAGUUGCAGCAGAAGUUGUUUUAGGAGGCUGGUGUGUUGUGAAGCUUAGAAAUUUUGGGAAGGAGAAUCCUUAUGGAAGAGGGUAAUUUCGGGUUUUAAUAAAGAACAUAAAAGUUAUUGUAAAUCUGUAUUAAAU